rnacentral:lncRNA from 1 species
GCUGCAGUUAGGCCACUCGGGCACAGCCCAUGAGGAAGAAGGGGUGGGCCGGGGUCUCCGCAACCUUCUCGAACGUGGCUGUGAGCCCUUGGCCCCCGACUACUGAGCGGCGAUGCUGAUGUCUGCUCACGGCUUGGUAGGACCACAGGGCGUGAUGACCGGAGCGUCCCAGGAGCCAUCACAGUGGAAGCCCCGUGCGGCGGCUGCUGUCUUGUCGUUGGGCAUCCCCAGAACCCUGGCGAGAGGAGCAGGAGAAAGGAACGUGGACCCGUCUGCACUCUGCUUCCUCUUCUCUGAAAACCCCAGGUGUUGCUUUCCCACGAGCCUGGAUGUCCCACCGCCCCUAACCAAGAGCUCCCGGACCAAGUCAGUCACAGAAACCUUCCGGGAAACCCUUCCAUCACAGGUUCAAACUCCCUAAAGAUCACUCUGGCGAGCCCAGGGAUGAGCUGGUGCCAGAGGCUCCGGGUCCUGCUGUGGCCGGAGGCUGAGGACCCUGCCCACCGGUGGGGCUGCAGGUGUGGGAAGACGCCAGGGGUGGGGGUACAGGUGCGAGCCACCUGCCCACUCAGGUGGUCAGUCUGGAGAUCCUGGAUGGGGAUGAGUCCAUCCUUCCGAGGCUCUUGCGUCUGGAAUCGGGAGGGGCCGGCCCUUGACUACGUGUGCCUCCUCACAAAGCAAUGGAAACCAUUAACCGGCUCCAAUAACGCCAUUUUUAAAAAGGCUUCAAAUAACUUUCCCAAUGCAAAACAACCCACUCAAGCAGACUGAAGUCAUUUCAUGGGCCAGCUGAACCAUGAGCGCUCCCAGAGCCACGCUCAGCUGCGCAUGGGCCGUUUCACCCGCCACCACUGUGGCGUGUCCGGCGCUGCGGGGUUGUCUGCUGGGCUCCACGGGAUGCCAGCCCGGCCGGUGUUCUGUGGCUCCCUCACUCCCUGGCCUCCGCGGCUCUGGCAUUGUCCUCCUACACUUGCCUGUGCUCUUAACUGCGACUCUUUUAUGCACCAAAACAGGUCUCCUUCUGAGCCUCUCCCUCCCGGUGACCUGGAGAUGAAUUCAGCUGCGGUGUCCUCCCUGAUAAGGACAGAGGCAGCCCUUCAAGGUCACCCGUGCAGGCGCUGCUGCGACGGUUACCUCGCCGCGCUUCCCCUCGCAGCUCCCGGGAGGUGGCUCGCUGAGAAGAAAGGGCUUCCAACAACUUCAGCAUGUUUUCCAGAUAAAAAUAGCCUCUACGGCAUGAUAUAUUCUAGCAAGAAAGACUGGAACAAAAGUAGGUUAUUGACUGGCAGAUGCCUGCCUUCCGCUGGGCACCGGUGCAUCAGAGAUUGGGUGCUUUCCAGCUAAAUUUAGCAUCCGAGUUAAUGUGCUGGCGAAUAAAGCCCUUCAGAAAAUCCA